GGGUUCUACCGUUGGUCGGGCUAACCAGUCUGUACUAGCGUGUAAAAUUCCUACCUUCUGGAGAACCAUCAUGUUAUUAAUUUAGCGUGGUGGGAAACCAGGACCUUUACCUUGAUAAAAUUAGAGUGUUCAAAGCAGGCCUUUGCCCGAAUACAUUAGCAUGGAAUAAUAGAAUAGGACGGUGGUCCUGUUUUGUUGGUUUCUGAAUCACAGUA
rnacentral:rRNA from 1 species